rnacentral:rRNA from 1 species
GAUGAACGCUAGCGGCAGGCCUAACACAUGCAAGUCGAGGGGCAGCACAGGUAGCAAUACUGGGUGGCGACCGGCGGAUGGGUGCGUAACGCGUAUGCAACCUACCAUUGAUUGGGGCAUAGCCCGAAGAAAUUCGGAUUAAUACUCCAUAAUAUUCAUCAAAGGCAUCUUUUAUGAAUUAAAGCUUUUGCGAUCAAUGAUGGGGCAUGCGUGACAUUUAGUUAGUUGGUGAGGUAACGGCUCACCAAAACGAUGAUGUCUAGGGGUUCUGGAGAGGAUUAUCCCCCACACUGGUACUGAGACACGGACCAGACUCCUACGGGAGGCAGCAGUGAGGAAUAUUGGUCAAUGGACGCAAGUCUGAACCAGCCAUGCCGCGUGCAGGAUGACGGCCCUAUGGGUUGUAAACUGCUUUUUCCACGGGAAGAACCCCUCCGACGUGUCGGAGACUGACGGUACCGUGGGAAUAAGCAUCGGCUAACUCCGUGCC